CUCAAAUGAUACCAGGAUCAAAUAUUUAGGUCAAACAUUUUGUAAUAUUACAGUAUUUUCUAAUCGUGGACACUACCUGUUAGUGGGACAAAAUACCAUGUUCUAACAUACUGAAUGAGCAACAUAAUAUUAUGUUAUUGCUUUGGGUUUGUCUUCCCCUGCGUUUUAGUGGCCACCACUUAUGAAACUUUCUGGAAACGCCCCUGGCCACAGGCCGCCAGUAUUUGGCACGUCUGCGCAAAUUGCGCAUCUCAUAAUGUGUUUUCUGAAAGGUGAAUUAUUUUUCUAACGCGACCCUUAAAUCAUCAAGCGUUUGGGAUACCGACACAGUCUCUGUCAAUAAGGCGCUCAUCUUCAGUCUUUCUUGACGGAGGAAAACGCUGCAGACACAUGAAAGGACAUGUCCACCCCUCCCCCAACACUAACAGAAGCUGAUGCGCAGAAAGUCUACUGUUAAUAGCUUUGGAGAGAUUUCUGAUUUCACAAUUCGAUGUAGUGUUGAUGUCAUGUGUGAUUACGGUUAACAUCUGGAGAUCAAAAUCGUGUUAAAAUGUCAUUGUCUGCUGUUGUAAUUUACUGGCGCUGCUUAAAUAUUCUUCAUCCUGCAGUGAUCCAGUGAGCCUUGACCCGAGCCUCCUGCUCCCCGUUAUAUUGCCGGUUUUGAACGCAGAGAACGAGACCUGCAGAGGUUUGUCAUUGCAAUGCUGCUGCAGGGAAGAUGCAGGGAUCUGAAGGCUGUUUAUUCCUCUGCCUCCAAACAAAGAGCCCGGGUAGCCUGAGUGUGAUCAAUCUUUCCAGCCAAAAAGGUCUGACAGCUCUCUGCCAGAGAACACAGCUGAACCAUCCAACACUCCUUAGAUCAUAUGGUGCCAGGAAUAGCGCAGCCGCGCUGGCUCUGGGGCUCUGGCUUUAAUUUAGUUUCUUUUAAAGACUAUUAUCAAGAAAUUACCAACUUUAUAUUUGGAAUCCACGUGCGUUUUAGAGAGAUAAAACUUCUUCUUUAUUUGUCGAUUACAAAAAACGGGAAUUAUAUAUUUUUUAAAAAAAUGGAGGUGAUAACUGGACUGUCAUUUUUUUUUUUUUUUUUUUGCAAGGAACGGAGCAGCUUUUGUCAUUAAGGAUCAAUUGUUCGCUGAGACGUUUUCCGGGCGGACCAGCGAGCGCCCCGUUUCCCGUCUGCUCUGGAGACAUCUGGGAGGCAAAGAGGCCAAAAAAAAAAAAAAAACUGCAGCCACGCAUCCACACGGACACAGAGUCUUUUUAAAGCGAUGAUAUUUCUGUCACCAUGCAGGCGCAGAUGUUAUUUUCAUUCUAAGUAAUAAAAAAACAGCAAAUCUGAAAUGGCACAAGCGUGCGUCUGUGUUUUUAAUGUUUGCAAAAAUGAUUAAUUUCAUCAAAAAUAUGCACUCAUCUGUAACAUUUCUAACAUAAACAUGUGUGAUAGAUUGGUGGGUUAAUGUUUAAAUAACUAAUAUAAUACAGUGAGAAGACUGAAGUGUUUAUUAAGUGUUUUUUUGUUUUUUUUGGCAAAACGGUCGGAGGUCUUAACAUAUAUCAUGUUAUCAUGUUCUUCCCGUUGAAAGAAAAUAAAAUUGGUGAAAAAAUACACAUAACCUUAAGGCUCACAUUAUCCUGUACAUACGCUGCCAAGCGUGUGCAAAUGUGUGAAAUCAUAACAGUGUUUAUGGAAGAAAUUUUAUAUUAGAGUUUUUAUGUCUGGAGCUUCGGGGCAAAAAUGGGUUUGUAAAUUUCAUUGUUCUGACUUGGAUAACAAUACUGCCAUUUUGAAACGAAAUUAUGAUUUUUUUUUCAAUAUCAGAUUAGAGGAAGUAAUACCACGAGAUCAAAUAUUUACAUUUGGAGAUUCUGCCUAAGUCCAGGUAGCGGGUUCUACUUCCUAUAAGUGAAAUAACACCGACCUCUCCUGCCUAUAGAAGAGUCAGCUAUCUUUGUAAAUGUUGCGACACUACGUUUUUGGCACAUUUAUGCGUCAGUUGUGCGUGUUUUUAACUUUAACCAAUCAUCUUUGUUAAAACGACACGGCUAGUAGGUUUGAAUUAAAAGUGCAAUGCCAAGUGUUAUUCUAUCUCUCCGUGCCAAAAUCCACACAGAAACACUACAACUCCGACCGAGAAAACAGUGAAUAUGUAUUUUUAGAUAUUUUAAGAUUAUUAGAUUAGCAGCAAUACUAUAAGAACUAUUAGCAGUAGUAUUAUUGAUCAUCUUGUUGUUGUAUAGGAUAUUCAAAAAUAAUCUCAACUCAGUAACUAUAUUAGUCUGGAUGGUAAAACCAGCAACUUUAGGGUUAGAUCUUGUAUUCUUGUAUGUCAAUAAACCUAUGAUAUCACGGGUAUAAACUCACUUUUCUCAUCCCAGACUAACAGACUGCUGACAGUGCGACUGGAAGGGGAUAAAUGUGUUCAACUUUUCCUCCUCCUGGACUCGCCCCCUCCCUUCCAAAAUGGCCUCAUCUGUCACUGCUGGUGUCGUGAGGUGUGAUGAAUAGGGGGAGGUGGUAAAAGGUCGCUGGAAAAAAAAAA